rnacentral:rRNA from 1 species
GACGAACGCUGGCGGCGUGCCUAAUACAUGCAAGUUGAGCGCUGAAGGUUGGUACUUGUACCGACUGGAUGAGCAGCGAACGGGUGAGUAACGCGUGGGGAAUCUGCCUUUGAGCGGGGGACAACAUUUGGAAACGAAUGCUAAUACCGCAUAAAAACUUUAAACACAAGUUUUAAGUUUGAAAGAUGCAAUUGCAUCACUCAAAGAUGAUCCCGCGUUGUAUUAGCUAGUUGGUGAGGUAAAGGCGCACCAAGGCGAUGAUACAUAGUCGACCUGAGAGGGUGAGCGGCCACACUGGGACUGAGACACGGCCCAAACUCCUACGGGAGGCAGCAGUAGGGAAUCUUCGGCAAUGGACGAAAGUCUGACCGAGCAACGCCGCGUGAGUGAAGAAGGGUUUCGGAUCGUAAAACUCGGUUGGUAGAGAAGAACGUUGGCGAGAGUGGAAAGCUCAUCAAGUGACGGUAACUACCCAGAAAGGGACGGCUAACUACGUG